rnacentral:rRNA from 1 species
UACAGAGGUCCCAAGCGUUGUUCGGAUUCACUGGGCGUAAAGGGUGCGUAGGUGGUUAGGUAGUCCGAUGUGAAUCUCCAGGCUCAACCUGGAAAUGGCAUUGGAUACUAUCUAGCUUGGAGGAGUGGAGGGGGGGACUGGGAAUUCUCGGGUGUAGCAGUGAAAUGCGUAGAUAUCGAGAGGAACACCGUGGCGAAGGCGAGUCCCUGGACAACUUCCUGCACUGAGGCACGAAAGCUAGGGGGAGCAAAC